rnacentral:rRNA from 1 species
UACGGGGGGGGCAAGCGUUGUUCGGAAUUACUGGGCGUAAAGGGCUCGUAGGCGGCCAACUAAGUCAGACGUGAAAUCCCUCGGCUUAACCGGGGAACUGCGUCUGAUACUGGAUGGCUUGAGUUUGGGAGAGGGAUGCGGAAUUCCAGGUGUAGCGGUGAAAUUCGUAGAUAUCGGGAGGAACACCAGUGGCGAAGGCGGCCACCUGGACGGAUACUGACGCUGAGACGCGAAAGCGUGGGGAGCAAACAGG